CAGCAGCCGCGGUAAUACGGAGGGAGCUAGCGUUGUUCGGAAUUACUAGGCGUAAAGCGCGCGUAGGCGGUUACUCAAGUCAGAGGUGAAAGCCCGGGGCUCAACCCCGGAACUGCCUUUGAAACUAGGUGACUAGAAUCUUGGAGAGGUCAGUGGAAUUCCGAGUGUAGAGGUGAAAUUCGUAGAUAUUCGGAAGAACACCAGUGGCGAAGGCGACUGACUGGACAAGUAUUGACGCUGAGGUGCGAAAGCGUGGGGAGCAAACAGGAUUAGAGACCCGCGUAGUCCCUGUCUCUUAUAC
rnacentral:rRNA from 1 species